CGCUACCACCCUCCCAAGGCCAUUUUGAGAUUUUCACGGAAACAUAGCAUUAUUUAAAACCAAGCACAUUACAUUUUCAAUUCGAAUCAUUAGAAGCAUAUCAAAACUAUAAUGUUUAUUCCAAUGACUGUAGGCCUAAUAGUUUUUACUCAAAAGGGAACAGAACACGUUGUCUCUCCGCUCUGUUUUACCAGUGUCAGAGAAGGGCCAUUUGGUCGGCAUGUGGCUUCGUCUGUGAUUGUUUAAUCGCUAAUGAGGGCCGCCGUUAUGUCUGCUAACCACCAGAUGUCACUGUUUUGUAUUCAAUGCUUUGACACUUCGAAACACUUACGAUACAAUCAGGAAGAACCUUCCAAAGCCUCGUGGGGCUUCAUUCGCCCAACCCUAGAGAGUAGAGUGGAGCAUCGUAGGACCAGGUGGAGGUGAUCAGACAGUAGAGAGAGCAGGCAGCCAAGUGGCACAGAAUGGGAUUCAAACAGCGUGCGUUACCAGGCAGAGAGAGCUCACAGCCAUUCAGUAUUGUAGCAGAAGCCAUUGAUCAGAGCGGUAGAAAAACAGAGUGGCGACACUCCCACAGACUUCCAUAGGAAACAAUGACGGCGCUUUUUCCAGGCUACUUCGGCGUUAUGCAGAGCUCAAAAGUCCCUAACUUUGACAUUCACGGCUUUAGCCCCAUUCACUUCCAUUGCUUUCUGCCUGAUAUUGUCAGUGGACCAAGGAUGCAGAGGACAAGAAGGGUGUGCGAUAUAUGACUGGAAUGGUCAGAUAAGAUCAUUUUUUAUGUUUGUCCACACAAUGGGGCCCUUACACAAAUGGAGUUGUGUUGAUCCAGCAUCUUCCACACCUCCCAUAACACUCCUGACUCCAGCCAAAUGUGUUGCAUCCCCUUCCACAUUGUGUCUUUUGUGUAGUUCACACACAAUUGUUGUUCAAACUUUGGAAACUGAAAUCUUUUUAUUUUUUGGAAACCUAAAUGAGUGUCAGACCUCCUUUUUAUGUUGCAGUGUCACCAUUCCUUCCUCCCAGUCUGCAUUUGUUUCUGUUCUUGUUUUAAACACACAUUGAAAACUUGAUAAAAAAUUCUAUUGAAAACCUAA